AAUAUUGCACAAUGGGCGCAAGCCUGAUGCAGCAAUGCCGCGUGAGGGAUGACGGACUUCGGGUUGUAAACCACUUUUAGUAGGGAAGAAGCGGAAGUGACGGUACCUGCAGAAACAGCACUGGCUAACUACGUGCCAGCAGCCGUGGUAAGACGGAGGGUGCAAGCGUUGGCCGGAAUUAUUGGGCGUAAAGAGCUCGUAGGCGGCUUGUCGCGUCUGCUGUGAAAUCCCGGGGCUCAACCCCGGGCCUGCAGUGGGUACGGGCAGGCUAGAGUGCGGUAGGGGAGAUUGGAAUUCCUGGUGUAGCGGUGGAAUGCGCAGAUAUCAGAAGGAACACCGAUGGCGAAGGCAGAUCUCUGGGCCGCUACUGACGCUGAGGAGCGAAAGCAUGGGGAGCGAACA
rnacentral:rRNA from 1 species